CCUACGGGAGGCAGCAGUGAGGGAUAGUGGUCAAUGGGGGAAACCCGGAACCAGCAACGCCGCGUGAGGGAAGAAGGUGUGCGGAGUGGAAACCUCUGUCCUCGGGGAAGAGAAUGACGGUAGCAGAGGAGGAAGCUACGGCUAACGACGUGCCAGCAGCCGCGGUAAUACGUAGGGAGCAAGCGUUGUCCGGAUUUACUGGGUGUAAAGGGUGCGUAGGCGGCCCUGCAUGUCAGAAGUGAAAUCCAUGGGCUUAACCCGUGAACUGCUUUUGAAACUGUAGGGCUUGAGGGAAGUAGAGGCAGGCGGAAUUCCCUGUGUAGCGGUGAAAUGCGUAGAGAUCGGGAGGAACCCCAGUGGCGAAGGCGGCCUGCUGGGCUUUAACUGACGCUGACGCACGAAAGCGUGGGUAGCAAACAGGAUUAGCUACCCGAGUAGUC
rnacentral:rRNA from 1 species